GACGAACGCUGGCGGCGUGCUUAACACAUGCAAGUCGAACGGAAAGGCCCUGCUUUUGUGGGGUGCUCGAGUGGCGAACGGGUGAGUAACACGUGUGUAACCUGCCCUUGACUUUGGGAUAACUUCAGGAAACUGGGGCUAAUACCGGAUAGGAGCUCCUGCUGCAUGGUGGGGGUUGGAAAGUUUCGGCGGUUGGGGAUGGACUCGCGGCUUAUCAGCUUGUUGGUUGGGUAGUGGCUUACCAAGGCUUUGACGGGUAGCCGGCCUGAGAGGGUUACCGGCCACAAUGGGACUGAGAUACGGCCCAGACUCCUACGGGAGGCAGCAGUGGGGAAUAUUGCACAAUGGGCGGAAGCCUGAUGCAGCAACGCCGCGUGCGGGAUGACGGCCUUCGGGUUGUAAACCGCUUUCGCCUGUGACGAAGCGUGAGUGACGGUAAUGGGUAAAGAAGCACCGGCUAACUACGUG
rnacentral:rRNA from 1 species